GAGUGCCUUGCGAGAGCAAGGGUAAAAGGGAAAUCGGUGAAAGACCGAUGCAACAGCCAUUACUGUGAACGGUGAAACGCUGCGCAUACGCCAUUGAACGGAAUCGUUUGAGAAGGCGCGCACAUCUUUGAAAAAAGACCGCAAGCCAGGAAACCUGCUUAAAGC
rnacentral:ncRNA from 1 species